AUGCCUCCUAAGCACCCGGCCUUCCCAGACAGGAGUUCUUCCGCCAGCACCUCCCAGCGAGUGACUGCCCACUCCCUUCCACUGGGAACCAUGGUGGUGUCACAGCCAGCCUUCUCCCUUCAGUCUUCUGGGCCAUGCUACAAGGCAUUCAGAGCACAAGAGUUGUGUAGUUCAUUUGGGAAGCAGUGCCAAGUCAAGGCCCAGGGAAUACAGACGGUGUCUCCCCAUCUGCUCACCGGCCAGACCAUGUCUGAGUGGGAGAGUUUCAGCGCUACAGACCUCACCUGCAGAGCAGUUUAUUAACCUUUAUAAUGCAACACCAAAGAAAUUCUGCUCUGCAAUUUAGGUUCCCUAUCACCAAGGUAAGACAAGAGGCCUCAGAAUAUCACCUGGGCAAGUAUAAAGUACUUUAAAUCA
rnacentral:lncRNA from 1 species